GACGAACGCUGGCGGCGUGCUUAACACAUGCAAGUCGAACGGAAAGGCCCUGCUUGCAGGGUACUCGAGUGGCGAACGGGUGAGUAACACGUGGGUGAUCUGCCCUGCACUUCGGGAUAAGCCUGGGAAACUGGGUCUAAUACCGGAUAGGAGCCAUUUUUAGUGUGAUGGUUGGAAAGUUUUUUCGGUGUAGGAUGAGCUCGCGGCCUAUCAGCUUGUUGGUGGGUUAAUGGCCUACCAAGGCGGCGACGGGUAGCCGGCCUGAGAGGGUGGACGGCCACAUUGGGACUGAGAUACGGCCCAGACGCCUACGGGAGGCAGCAGUGGGGAAUAUUGCACAAUGGGCGCAAGCCUGAUGCAGCGACGCCGCGUGGGGGAUGACGGCCUUCGGGUUGGAAACUCCUUUCGCUAGGGACGAAGCUUUUUGUGACGGUACCUAGAUAAGAAGCACCGGCUAACUACGUG
rnacentral:rRNA from 1 species